GCGGCGAUAGCUCAGUGGGUAAAGCGCCAUGUGAGAAGAUGGCGAUUACUCCGAAAGCUAUCGAAUUCGUGCGAGCUAUUCGAGUCCGUGCGGGUUCGAAUCCCGCUUGUGGCA